rnacentral:rRNA from 1 species
UACGUAGGGCGCGAGCGUUGUCCGGAAUUAUUGGGCGUAAAGAGCUCGUAGGCGGCUUGUCGCGUCGGAUGUGAAAGCCCGGGGCUUAACUCCGGGUCUGCAUUCGAUACGGGCAGGCUAGAGUGUGGUAGGGGAGAUCGAAUUCCUGGUGUAGCGGUGAAAUGCGCAGAUAUCAGGAGGAACACCGGUGGCGAAGGCGGAUCUCUGGGCCAUUACUGACGCUGAGGAGCGAAAGCGUGGGGAGCGAACAGG